rnacentral:rRNA from 1 species
UGCAGUCGAACGAGAAAGUACCCUUCGGGGUGCGAGUAAAGUGGCGAACGGGUGAGUAACAAGUGGGUAACCUACCUUUGAGUGGGGAACAAUCCCUCUAACGAGGGGCUAAUACCGCAUAAUGCAGCGGCUCCGCAUGGAGACAGUUGUUAAAGGGGCAGCUUCGGUUGUCUCGCUUGAAGAUGGACCCGCGGUCCAUUAGCUUGUUGGUGAGGUAACGGCUCACCAAGGCAACGAUGGAUAGCCGGCCUGAGAGGGUGUACGGCCACACUGGAACUGAGAAAGGUCCAGUCCCCUACGGGGGCCAGCAGUCUAGAAAUUUGCGCAAUGGGCGAAAGCCUGACGCAGCGACGCCACGUGGAGGAUGAAGCCCUUAGGGGUGUAAACUCCUGUCAGAAGGGAAGAAUGCAGGAAAUAACUUUUCCUGUUUGACGGUACCUUCAGAGGAAGCCCCGGCUAACUUCGUGCCAGCAGCCGCGGUAAUACGAAGGGGGCAAGCGUUGUUCGGAUUUACUG